GAUGUACGCUGGCGGCGUGCUUAACACAUGCAAGUCGAGCGAGAAGUUUUGAAAAGAUUCUUCGGAUGAAAUUUAAAAUGGAAAGCGGCGGACGGGUGAGUAACGCGUAGGCAACCUGCCCCAUACAAAGGGAUAGCAUUUGGAAACGAAUAUUAAUACCUUAUGAAACUUAACUAGUGCAUGCUAGGUAGGUCAAAGAUUUAUCGGUAUGGGAUGGGCCUGCGUCUGAUUAGCUAGUUGGUGAGGUAACGGCUCACCAAGGCGACGAUCAGUAGCCGACCUGAGAGGGUGAACGGCCACAUUGGAACUGAGACACGGUCCAAACUCCUACGGGAGGCAGCAGUGGGGAAUAUUGCACAAUGGGGGAAACCCUGAUGCAGCAACGCCGCGUGAACGAUGAAGGCCUUUGGGUCGUAAAGUUCUGUUCUAGGUGAUGAAAACUGACAGUAGCCUAGGAGAAAGCCCCGGCUAACUCCGUG
rnacentral:rRNA from 1 species